rnacentral:rRNA from 1 species
AAAAGUUAUGUAAGGGCGUAUGGGGGAUGCCUAGGCUCUCAGAGGCGAAGAAGGACGUGAUAAGCUGCGAAAAGUUGCGUGUAUUGGCACAUACGAGAUGAUACGCAAAUAUCCGAAUGGGGCAACCCAGUACAUUGAAGAUGUACUACACCGUAAAGGUGGGCAAACCCGCUGAACUGAAACAUCUAAGUAGGCGGAGGAGAAGAAAACAAAAGUGAUUCCCAGAGUAGUGGCGAGCGAAAUGGGAGGAGCCCAAACCAAUAAUGUUUCGGCAUUAUUGGGGUUGUAGGACUGCGAUAUUUGCUGUUUAUUGAAUUAGAAUACUUUGGAAAGAGUAACCACAGAGGGUGAUAGUCCCGUAUAGGCAAGAUAAAUAAGUAAUAGCAGUAUCCUGAGUAGGGCGGGGCACGUGGAACCCUGUCUGAAACUGCCGGGACCAUCCGGUAAGGCUAAAUACUCCUGAGAGACCGAUAGUGGACUAGUACCGUGAGGGAAAGGUGAAAAGCACCGUGAAUAACGGAGUGAAAAAGACCCUGAAACCAUACGCUUACAAGCGGUCGGAGCGGCUUAUGCCGUGACGGCGUGCCUUUUGCAUAAUGAGCCUACGAGUUACUGUUACUGGCAAGGAUAAGCACUUAAGGUGCGCAUUCGUAGCGAAAGCGAGUCUGAAUAGGGCGCUGAAGUCAGUAGGAGUAGACGCGAAACCUGGUGAUCUACCCUUGGGCAGGUUGAAGCACUGGUAACACAGUGUGGAGGACCGAACUGGUUGUCGUUGAAAAGACUUCGGAUGACCUGAGGGUAGGGGUGAAAGGCCAAUCAAACUGGGAAAUAGCUCGUACUCCCCGAAAUGCAUUUAGGUGCAGCGUUGUGACAAAAGUUUAAUAGAGGUAGAGCUACUGAUUGGAUGCGGGGGUUUCACCGCCUACCAAUUCCUGACAAACUCCGAAUGCUAAUAAAUAUUGAUCAGCAGUGAGGGCAUGGGUGCUAAGGUCCAUGUCCGAGAGGGAAAGAACCCAGACCAACAGCUAAGGUCCCUAAAUAUAUGCUAAGUUGAAACAACGCGGUUGAACUGCAUUGACAGCUAGGAUGUUGGCUUGGAAGCAGCCAUUCAUUUAAAGAGUGCGUAACAGCUCACUAGUCGAGUGCUUUGGCAUGGAUAAUAAUCGGGCAUAAGCUAUUUACCGAAGCUGUGGGAUGUUUAAGACAUCGGUAGGGGAGCAUUCCAGCGACGUUGAAGGUAAGAGGACAACUCUUGCUGGAGUUUCUGGAAAAGCAAAUGUAGGUAUAAGUAACGAUAAAGGAGGUGAGAAACCUCCUCGCCGAAAGACUAAGGUUUCCUGAUCAACGCUAAUCGGAUCAGGGUUAGUCGGGGCCUAAGGGAUAGCCGAACGGCGUACCCGAUGGACGAACCGGUUAAUAUUCCGGUACUAAUUAUGUGAGCGAUGUGGAGACGGAGAUGUGACGGUCCUGCCAGCUGACGGAAUAGCUGGUUAAAGGGUGUAGGCGUUGAUCGGGGUAGGCAAAUCCGCCCUGAGAGCUGAACCUGACAGUACUCUGAGUGCUUGUACAAGGAGAUAUGGACAAAGUAACGGCGCUCCCAAGAAAAUCCGCUAAGCAUAUUGCAUGAUUACCCGUACCAUAAACCGACACAGGUGGUUGGGUUGAGUAUACUAAGGCGCUCGAGUGAUUCGCGGUUAAGGAACUAGGCAAAAUAGUUCUGUAACUUCGGGAUAAAGAACGCUCACCUAACCGGUGAGCCGCAGAGAAUAGACCCAGGCGACUGUUUAACAAAAACACAUGGCUAUGCUAAAUCGAAAGAUACAGUAUAUAGCCUGACACCUGCCCGGUGCUGGAAGGUUAAGAGGAGAUGUCAUCGCAAGAGAAGCAUUGAAUUGAAGCCCCAGUAAACGGCGGCCGUAACUAUAACGGUCCUAAGGUAGCGAAAUUCCUUGUCGGGUAAGUUCCGACCUGCACGAAUGGUGUAACGAUCUGGGCACUGUCUCAGCCACGAGCUCGGUGAAAUUGUAGUAUCGGUGAAGAUGCCGAUUACCCGCAAUGGGACGAAAAGACCCUGUGAACCUUUACUAUAACUUCGUAUUGACUUUGAGUAAGUAAUGUGUAGGAUAGGUGGGAGGCUGUGAAGCUGGCACGCUAGUGUUGGUGGAGCCGUUGUUGAAAUACCACCCUUUGCUUACUUGGAGCCUAACUUCUGAAAAAGAGUAAGAAGGACAUUGCGUGGUGGGUAGUUUGACUGGGGUGGUCGCCUCCAAAAGAGUAACGGAGGCUUUCAAAGGUACCCUCAGCACGCUUGGUAACCGUGCGUAGAGUGUAAUGGCAUAAGGGUGCUUGACUGUGAGACCUACAAGUCGAUCAGGUGCGAAAGCAGGACAUAGUGAUCCGGUGGUUCCGUAUGGAAGGGCCAUCGCUCAUAGGAUAAAAGGUACUCCGGGGAUAACAGGCUAGUCUCCCCCAAGAGCUCACAUCGACGGGGAGGUUCGGCACCUCGAUGUCGGCUCGUCACAUCCUGGGGCUGGAGAAGGUCCCAAGGGUUG